rnacentral:lncRNA from 1 species
AUAAACACUGAAUGUUAAUUACUAUCCAAAUUGUGAUUGGCAAAUUCUAGCCAGGGUAUAAAAACUAAGACUAAGAGAGAGAGGAAUCUUCAUUUUCCAUAUACGAAUUCAAGAGAUUGUUGAGCUUUUAAUGGGAAACAGCAUGGAUAUCAUUUAUCAACUUGAGAAAAAUUCAAGAAGACGGAGCUAAAAGAGUUAAAAUGGUGGCCUUUCAGGAAUGAAACCUGAUGGUGACACAGAGUAGUGCUGUUCUUAUUAAAAAUCUUUCCAAAAGUAUUCAACUUUUAAAAUGUUUAUGUGUAGAAUUUUCAAUAUAAAAUUAUAUUUUAAUUAAAAAAAUAGUGGUUAGGUGCUGAAGAAGCGGAGAUUGCAAAUGUAGCACAAUUGCAGCAAGACUUAAGUUACCAGGGGCAGAGGAAAGACAAUUGAGGAACUGUUACUACAUUUAGCAUUGAGGGGAAGGACAGUUUUCAUAUGGGAGGAGCUCGAAUAGGUUUAUAGGCUACAGAGAACGAGUCGGUAGAAAGGAAGAGUUUGAAAAUAAGGCAAAAACAAAACAAAACAAAAAAACUUACAAGAUAAAACAUGUAUUUGGAAUCACUGGAAAAGACUGAGGUUGCUGCUAAUUUAUGUUCUUUUUCUUCAUCAAGGAUUCCUAGUGCCUUUUCCUCCUCAAAUUUAAUGGCCUACUCAGCAGCCCAUGUGCAGAAGUUAUGAAGUGGGGCUGUUUAUCUGUUGGUGAAGAGUUUUCAGAGAAGAUCAUGGUGUUGGGUUGCUGAUAUGGAAUGAAUAAGAACAGAUGAGGAGGGACUUAAGAAGGGAGGUAGACAUUACUGAACGUAGAAGAAUUUGAUACACACAGGGAAAAUUCCUAUACAGAGGGAGAUUUGAAGAGGGCUCUUCUCACUGCUUUAUGAGGUGCUUCCGUGGG